ACCGCGACCCCAGGUCAKGCGGGGAUUACCCGCUGAG
rnacentral:rRNA from 1 species